GAAUUAGUAGUUUAAAAAGAACGUUGUGUUGUGGCCGCAAAAGUAUACAUUUAUGUAUCAUUCU
rnacentral:tRNA from 1 species